UUAAGUUCAGCGGGUAAUCCUGCCUGAUUUGAGAUCUAAUCUAAAGGUAGACUUUUCAAUUAGAAGCUUCCAUAAUUAAGUUGGCUCAAUGCGAACAUUGAAUCCUUAGCGAAUAGUCUAUUACGCCAAGUCAAUCCAAACUUGUAUUAGGGAUGCUGAUGUAUUACGAACGAGCUAGGCACGAAGCCAGCAGCGCUCAG
rnacentral:misc_RNA from 1 species